GUACCUCACAUUCCAGCCAAUCAGCAGCAGACCCUCCCUCCCAGACCCUCCCACCUCCUGGACAGCUCACUAAGAAUGCAGCUUCACAAUGAAUGUAAAAUGGAUGCUGUCCAGGAGUUGGGAGGGUCUGGGAGGGAGGGUCUGCUGCUGAUUGGCUGGAAUGUGUCUG